rnacentral:pre_miRNA from 1 species
AACAUUUUUUUACCCAAGUGACGAGAUCGUAAGCUCAAUAGAAGAUGAACCAAAGAAUUAAAUUGAGCUUACGAUCUCGUCACUUGGGUAAAAAAAUGUUUUU